CCCCACGCUCACGCGUGGGGCUACAUUCUGCUGCCGCUACGCGGCG
rnacentral:sRNA from 1 species